rnacentral:rRNA from 1 species
GACGAACGCUGGCGGCGUGCUUAACACAUGCAAGUCGAACGGAAAGGCCCUGCUUUUGUGGGGUGCUCGAGUGGCGAACGGGUGAGUAACACGUGAGUAACCUGCCCUUGACUUUGGGAUAACUUCAGGAAACUGGGGCUAAUACCGGAUAGGAGCUCCUGCUGCAUGGUGGGGGUUGGAAAGUUUCGGCGGUUGGGGAUGGACUCGCGGCUUAUCAGCUGGUUGGUGGGGUAGUGGCUUACCAAGGCUUUGACGGGUAGCCGGCCUGAGAGGGUGACCGGCCACAUUGGGACUGAGAUACGGCGCAGACUCCUACGGUAGGCAGCAGUGGGGAAUAUUGCACAAUGGGCGGAAGCCUGAUGCAGCAACGCCGCGUGCGGGAUGACGGCCUUCGGGUUGUAAACCGCUUUCGCCUGUGACGAAGCGUGAGUGACGGUAAUGGGUAAAGAAGCACCGGCUAACUACGUG